GAACUACUACUAAAGAUACAUCUGAACCGCAGCGUGUGUGGCUUCCUAGCUCUGCACUACCUGUAGUUUAGAAAUAGUGCGCAGUCAGUUUAGAGAGCUAGUGUGGGAAGUUCAGAUAUAAAAACUCAUGUUGGUGCUAGACUAUAUUACUUAACCGCUGCUGUGCAUGAUUUUUUUUGUAAAUAUUUACAUUUGGUUAACGAGUUGGGUUAAACCCAUUGCGAAGUUCGCAUUUAAUUUUUGGGAAGUUCUGUUGGUCCAAUUAACCUUAUUGUGAAAAUUUGUUUUUAAAUUCGCAAGUUGGUUUCGCUCCAGAUCUACUCACAGUUCACUUUGUUCAAAAUGGCAAGUUCACUCUUUUUAUUUUGCGGGAGUCCAUUUCAUGUGCAUCAUAUACAUCAGGGAAGUGCACUCCAUACAUCCCGGGCAGUUCACUCUGUGUGAUAAAAUUUUAGAAUGUUAAAGUAAAUCAUUGCACUUGCAAAUACCUUCAGUCUGGACACAAAUAGGUAUAGUUGUGACAAAGUUCUAAGAAGUUGCUACCGAGUUUCUGUGCUCGAACCUGAAGGCAAACAAAUGUUAGUUUCUUGAUUAUUACUAGUCUUUUGUUGGUCUCAUCGUAGUACCAGGCUACCAGCCAUUAAGGAAGAGGCCUCGAAGAACCCUCGGCCACCAUCACAUACACCAGCAGAAAUGUCAUGUCGAUCCAACCAUUACGGCGCUAAUAGCUGGUGUAGGUUAAGGAUGUCCACCUUGAUAGAUGUCACAUUUCGGCAAUGAAAUCUUCGAACAUUUCUCACACUCAAACUUAGUUCAUUUCUCCUAAUCCGUGGAGUUCAUUUCUCCUAAUUCGUGAGGUUCACAUCUUCUGCUACUUUAGUUUAGAUAUUCUUGCUAGAUUGACUAUUAUUUUAUUUCUUAUUGAUAGUGUAAAGUUCCAUGUGCAUAAAUGUAGCUACAAUGGGGGUUCACUCGCGUAUCCUCGACAGUCCAGCGGGCUUCACAUCGCUCUCUACAGCUCCAUCUUUAGGAAGUGCGCACUUAUGUUCUAUAGCAGUUCAUUGUCAAUGAUGGUUGGCAAUCGACACGCAACCAACAGGAAGUCAAUCCGAAAAGAGUGAAGAAGUUUGGAGAAGUUGUGAACCUCAUCAACGUCAUGGUAGUCACCCGCGACGAGGGCAGUGCGUAGAGGCAGGCUUGCACAGCAGUAGGUGUUGUCUGUCAGGGUAGCAGCUUGGGUGAUGAAUUCAACAAGACUUGUAGAGCUUGGCUGGAAGACACUAUAAUAUUUUUGAAUUAGCUCAUGUAUUUAGGGGAGAAGUUUUUCUGCACUUCAACGUUGCUGUGUAGGAUUCGUACUGUCUUCUUGAGUAAAUAAUGGUCUGCAUUCAUGUGUUAUUUACCAUUCUUGAAUAAAAAUAGUGGAUUGCCCAGUUCUAGAGGUUGAUUACCGGCCACUGCCGUGGUUGUUCUGCUACCUAGGGUUCACCUUUGUAAAGCUGUAAGUUCACACUAAAUGCACCAAAAGUUCACCUCGAACAUG